rfam:Camelus ferus unplaced genomic scaffold scaffold47321, whole genome shotgun sequence.
GAGGGUGUAGCUCAGAGGUAGAGUGCCUGCCUAGCGUGCACAAGGUCCGGGGUUCAAUCCCCAGUGCCGCCA